rnacentral:rRNA from 1 species
GAUGAACGCUGGCGGCGUGCCUAAUACAUGCAAGUCGAGCGAACAGACGAGGAGCUUGCUCCUCUGACGUUAGCGGCGGACGGGUGAGUAACACGUGGAUAACCUACCUAUAAGACUGGGAUAACUUCGGGAAACCGGAGCUAAUACCGGAUAAUAUAUUGAACCGCAUGGUUCAAUAGUGAAAGACGGUUUUGCUGUCACUUAUAGAUGGAUCCGCGCCGCAUUAGCUAGUUGGUAAGGUAACGGCUUACCAAGGCAACGAUGCGUAGCCGACCUGAGAGGGUGAUCGGCCACACUGGAACUGAGACACGGUCCAGACUCCUACAGGAGGCAGCAGUAGGGAAUCUUCCGCAAUGGCGAAAGCCUGACGGAGCAACGCCGCGUGAGUGAUGAAGGUCUUCGGAUCGUAAAACUCUGUUAUUAGGGAAGAACAAAUGUGUAAGUAACUAUGCACGUCUUGACGGUACCUAAUCAGAAAGCCACGGCUAACUACGUG